rnacentral:rRNA from 1 species
UACGUAGGUGGCAAGCGUUGUCCGGAUUUACUGGGCGUAAAGCGUGCGCAGGCGGUUUUGUAAGCCAGAUGUGAAAUCCCCGGGCUUAACCUGGGAAUGGCAUUUGGGACUGCAAGGCUGGAGUGUGGCAGAGGAGACUGGAAUUCCUGGUGUAGCAGUGAAAUGCGUAGAUAUCAGGAGGAAUACCGAUGGCGAAGGCAGGUCUCUGGGCUGACACUGACGCUCAUGCACGAAAGCGUGGGGAGCAAACAGG